rnacentral:rRNA from 1 species
UCGAGGAUCUUCGUCAAUGGGCGCAAGCCUGAACGAGCGACACCGCGUGCGCGAUGAAGGCCUUCGGGUUGUAAAGCGCGAAAGUGGAGAGAAAGGGAAACUUGAUCAAUCCACAGUAAGGACGGGCUAAGUUCGUGCCAGCAGCCGCGGUAAGACGAACUGUCCUAACGUUGUUCGGAAUCACUGGGCUUAAAGGGCGCGUAGGCGGUCCGACAAGUCAGGGGUGAAAUCCUGCAGCUUAACUGUAGAAGUGCCUCUGAUACUGUCGGUCUUGAGGGAAAUAGGGGUGUGCGGAACUUCCAGUGGAGCGGUGAAAUGCGUUGAUAUUGGAAGGAACGCCGGAGGCGAAAGCGGCGCACUGGAUCUCUUCUGACGCUGAGGCGCGAAAGCUAGGGGAGCAAACGGGAUUAGAUACCCCCGUAGUCC